rnacentral:rRNA from 1 species
UACGUAGGGGGCGAGCGUUGUCCGGAAUUAUUGGGCGUAAAGAGCUCGUAGGCGGUUUGUCGCGUCUGCUGUGAAAUCCCGAGGCUCAACCUCGGGCCUGCAGUGGGUACGGGCAGACUAGAGUGCGGUAGGGGAGAUUGGAAUUCCUGGUGUAGCGGUGGAAUGCGCAGAUAUCAGGAGGAACACCGAUGGCGAAGGCAGAUCUCUGGGCCGUAACUGACGCUGAGGAGCGAAAGCGUGGGGAGCGAACAGG